rnacentral:lncRNA from 1 species
CAUGUGCAUGUGAGCAGAGUGGCAUAGUGUAUUAUGGGGUAAAACUCUGGGCCUGAACUUAAUAAAACAGUGACACCAUAAACUACACAACCAGCUACUGUACAACACUGCCAUCUACUGUGUGUGUAUGUGCUGGUGUUACUAUCCUCAUGGGAUACCUGAAAUCCCCACAAGGAAAAAUCUCCCUCAUGGGGACAUUUCCCAGGGCCACACUAGGACAAAGGCUAUUUUAGGCUUAGGGGUUAUGAUUACAAUUAAAGUUAGGGUUUAGGAGUUAGGGUUUAGUUUAGGGUUAGGAGUUAGGGUUUAGGAGUUAGGGUUUAGUUUAGGGUUAUGAGUUAGGGUUUAGGAGUUAAGGUUUAGUUUAGGGUUAUGAGUUAGGGUUUAGGAGUUAGGGUUUAGUUUAGGGUUAGGAGUUAGGGUUUAGGAGUUAGGGUUUAGUUUAGGGUUAGGAGUUAGGGUUUAGGAGUUAGGGUUUAGUUUAGGGUUAGGAGUUAGGGUUUAGGAGUUAGGGUUUAGUUUAGGGUUAUGAGUUAGGGUUUAGGAGUUAGGGUUUAGUUUAGGAGUUAGGGUUUAGGAGUUAGGGUUUAGUUUAUGGUUAGGAGUUAGGGUUUAGGAGUUAGGGUUUAGUUUAGGGUUAGGAGUUAGGGUUUAGUUUAGAUGUAGGGGUUAGUUUAGAGUUUAGUUUAGGGUUAGGGUUAAGGAAAAUAGGAUUUUGAAUGGAAAUCAAUUUUAGGUCCCCACAAGGAUAAUAAUACCAAACGUGUGUGUCUGUGUUUUAUUUCAUGUUUAAUCCCCUCCAAACUCAACUAACUCCUCCCAGUCUGGUCUAGAUAGUACAUCAGGGGUCAGAGGUUAGACAAGGAAGUGUACAGCAGGGGUUAGAGGUUAGACAAGGAAGUGUACAUCAGGGGUUAGAGGUUAGACAAGGAAGUGUACAUCAGGGGUUAGAGGUUAGACAAGGAAGUGUACAGCAGGGGUUAGAGGUUAGACAAGGAAGUGUACAGCAGGGGUUAGAGGUUAGACAAGGAAGUGUACAUCAGGGGUUAGAGGUUAGACAAGGAAGUGUACAGGGGGUGUUUUGCAGCUGGCCCGCUGGGUCAGGGGCGACCUCCAACAUGGAAACACGUUACAAUCUAACAAAUGGAAGGGCCACACUUAUCAUCAACAAUGUCACCAAGGAGGAUGCUGGGAACUACACCUGUAAGGCAUACAUCAUACACCAGGAUCCCUCCAAUAGGGUGGAGGGAGAGCUACAGGUUGCAUGGGUUUAUAUAUAUGGUGAAAAACCGGUGCUUUAAAUGCAUGGGGAGAAGUGUAGGAGUAGCACUCUUUGGGAGAAAGGUCGAGAAUUAAGAUAGAUGGACAGCCACAUGAUAUUUAGCAACAUUAAUUGGACUGAAUUGUUUUUGGUAUCUUUAAGUUUGUUUUCAGUGUAUUAAACUAAGUUCAUAUAGCCUAGUUUAUUUAUUUGAUGAUGUUUAAAUGUUUAAAUUGAAAUGGUGCUGGAAUAACGGAGGCAGCUCCUGUUGUCUUUGUGCUGACUUGAGGUAACUCUGUGGGUCUGAAUUAGUAUUUGUUUAGUAAAACUCUCAAAAACAUGAACUUGCUUGACCAUACUGCAGGUCAUUUAACUGUUUGUAUAUGCAAUAUUUGCUUUGUGGACUUCACCAGACAGAUGUCACCAGACAAACAUCAUGCCCCUCCCCUGACAAUCCCACUUACAGUGAUUGAUUGACAGGCCAAACUUUUAAAGGGAUAGUUCACCCAAAUUACAAAACGACACAUUGGCUCUCCACAGCAGGAGAGAAAAUAAAAUAAAUAUUUUGAAAAACAAACAUUGUGGCGUUUCAUAUCUUGCAGUAAAACUGUAAAUAUGACUUUAAUAUCAAGAGAAGACAGGUUUAAUGGUACCAAAAGGUUAUCAUAUAGGCCUAGGACUAGAUCAUAUCCAAAACAAC